CAUGAAGUCGGAGUUGCUAGUAAUCGCGGAUCAGCAUGCCGCGGUGAAUGCGUUCCCGGGCCUUGUACACACCGCCCGUCACACCAUGGAAGUCUGCAAUGCCCGAAGCCGGUGGCCUAACCACUUAUGUGGAAGGAGCCGUCAAGGCAGGGCAGAUGACUGGGGUGAAGUCGUAACAAGGUAGC
rnacentral:rRNA from 1 species